rnacentral:rRNA from 1 species
CGUAGGGUGCAAGCGUUAUCCGGAAUUAUUGGGCGUAAAGAGCUCGUAGGCGGUUUGUCACGUCUGCUGUGAAAACUGGAGGCUCAACCUCCAGCCUGCAGUGGGUACGGGCAGACUAGAGUGCGGUAGGGGAGAUUGGAAUUCCUGGUGUAGCGGUGGAAUGCGCAGAUAUCAGGAGGAACACCGAUGGCGAAGGCAGAUCUCUGGGCCGUAACUGACGCUGAGGAGCGAAAGCAUGGGGAGCGAACAGGAUUAGAUACCCUGGUAGUCCAUGCCGUAAACGUUGGGAACUAGAUGUAGGGACCAUUCCACGGUUUCUGUGUCGCAGCUAACGCAUUAAGUUCCCCGCCUGGGGAGUACGGCCGCAAGGCUA